rnacentral:rRNA from 1 species
CACGGGGGGAGCAAGCGUUGUUCGGAUUCAUUGGGCGUAAAGAGCUCGUAGGUGGCUUUGUAAGUCGGAGGUGAAAUCCCACGGCUCAACCGUGGACACGCCUUCGAUACUGUGAAGCUUGAGGCUGGGAGAGGGAAUCGGAAUUCCUGGUGUAGCGGUGAAAUGCGUAGAUAUCAGGAGGAACACCGGUGGCGAAGGCGGCCCCCUGGUUGGAGUACUGAACGCCUGAGAGCGAAAGCGUGGGGA